AUUGGUGCUUGCAUCAUGAUUUACAUUUGAGUGAGUGGCGAACUGGUGAGUAACACGUGGGAAACCUGCCCAGAAGCGGGGGAUAACACCUGGAAACAGAUGCUAAUACCGCAUAACAACUUGGACCGCAUGGUCCGAGUUUGAAAGAUGGCUUCGGCUAUCACUUUUGGAUGGUCCCGCGGCGUAUUAGCUAGAUGGUGAGGUAACGGCUCACCAUGGCAAUGAUACGUAGCCGACCUGAGAGGGUAAUCGGCCACAUUGGGACUGAGACACGGCCCAAACUCCUACGGGAGGCAGCAGUAGGGAAUCUUCCACAAUGGACGAAAGUCUGAUGGAGCAACGCCGCGUGAGUGAAGAAGGGUUUCGGCUCGUAAAACUCUGUUGUUAAAGAAGAACAUAUCUGAGAGUAACUGUUCAGGUAUUGACGGUAUUUAACCAGAAAGCCACGGCUAACUACGUGCCAGCAGCCGCGGUAAUACGUAGGUGGCAAGCGUUGUCCGGAUUUAUUGGGCGUAAAGCGAGCGCAGGCGGUUUUUUAAGUCUGAUGUGAAAGCCUUCGGCUCAACCGAAGAAGUGCAUCGGAAACUGGGAAACUUGAGUGCAGAAGAGGACAGUGGAACUCCAUGUGUAGCGGUGAAAUGCGUAGAUAUAUGGAAGAACACCAGUGGCGAAGGCGGCUGUCUGGUCUGUAACUGACGCUGAGGCUCGAAAGUAUGGGUAGCAAACAGGAUUAGAUACCCUGGUAGUCCAUACCGUAAACGAUGAAUGCUAAGUGUUGGAGGGUUUCCGCCCUUCAGUGCUGCAGCUAACGCAUUAAGCAUUCCGCCUGGGGAGUACGGCCGCAAGGCUGAAACUCAAAGGAAUUGACGGGGGCCCGCACAAGCGGUGGAGCAUGUGGUUUAAUUCGAAGCUACGCGAAGAACCUUACCAGGUCUUGACAUACUAUGCAAAUCUAAGAGAUUAGACGUUCCCUUCGGGGACAUGGAUACAGGUGGUGCAUGGUUGUCGUCAGCUCGUGUCGUGAGAUGUUGGGUUAAGUCCCGCAACGAGCGCAACCCUUAUUAUCAGUUGCCAGCAUUAAGUUGGGCACUCUGGUGAGACUGCCGGUGACAAACCGGAGGAAGGUGGGGAUGACGUCAAAUCAUCAUGCCCCUUAUGACCUGGGCUACACACGUGCUACAAUGGAUGGUACAACGAGUUGCGAACUCGCGAGAGUAAGCUAAUCUCUUAAAGCCAUUCUCAGUUCGGAUUGUAGGCUGCAACUCGCCUACAUGAAGUCGGAAUCGCUAGUAAUCGCGGAUCAGCAUGCCGCGGUGAAUACGUUCCCGGGCCUUGUACACACCGCCCGUCACACCAUGAGAGUUUGU
rnacentral:rRNA from 2 species